UUGGUGGUGCUAUAACCUACCU
rnacentral:siRNA from 1 species